CUCCUUAUCCCCUUAGUCAAAUAAUGCCUCCUCCUCUGAUAUUUCUGUCCUAGCUCCUGCACCACAAACGUCCUACUGAGUUAUUUCUGUCCUAGCUCCUCCAUCACAAACGUCCUACUGAGUUAUUUCUGUCCUAGCUCCUGCAUCACAAACGUCCUACUGAGUUAUUUCUGUCCUAGCUCCUCCAUCACAAACGUCCUACUCAGUUAUUUCUGUCCUAGCUCCUCCAUCACAAACGUCCUACUGGA
rnacentral:sRNA from 1 species